CUGAAAAAAGUUUGGAGUUUUUGGAAAAUGUGGAUCCCGAGAACGCAGAAUUUUUGAUUGUUCUUUUUAAAGGCAACGUACUACGUACCAAGGCAGCCGAAAACUAAUUUGGUAGGCGCGAAGCAGCCCAGGGGUAAAUUAUAUGAUAAAUAUACCUGUAUAAUAAAAGAUUUGCGUGCUUCAGGAUUACGGUCGAAAGAGUCCGAACAGCCAACAACUGUUCAUGACGAUGGAGUAAAGAGAGAUGAACAG